GGGAUUGCCUCAGUAACGGCGAGUGAAGCGGCAACAGCUCAAAUUUGAAAUCUGGCCCCGUCGGGGUCCGAGUUGUAAUUUGUAGAGAGUGUUUCGGGUGAGACCACGGUCUAAGUCUAUUGGAACAUGGCGUCAUAGAGGGUGAGAAUCCCGUAUGUGACCGUGGCUCGAACCCAUGUGAAGCCUCUUCGACGAGUCGAGUUGUUUGGGAAUGCAGCUCAAAAUGGGUGGUAAAUUUCAUCUAAAGCUAAAUACUGGCUGGAGACCGAUAGCGCACAAGUAGAGUGAUCGAAAGAUGAAAAGCACUUUGGAAAGAGAGUCAAAAAGUACGUGAAAUUGUUGAAAGGGAAGCGCUUGCAACCAGACCUGUCCGUAGGUGAUCAGCCGCUGUUCUCAGUGGUGCACUCGCUCUGCGACCAGGCCAGCAUCGGUUCCGGCGGUCGGAUAAAGGCCUUGGGAAUGUAGCUCCCUUCGGGGAGUCUUAUAGCCCUCGGUGCAAUGCGGCCAGCCGGGACCGAGGACCGCGCUUCGGCUAGGAUGCUGGCGUAAUGGUUGUAAGCGACCCGUCUUGAAACACGGACCAAGGAGUCUAACAUCUAUGCGAGUGUUUGGGUGUUAAACCCAUGCGCGGAAUGAAAGUGAACGGAGGUGAGAACCCUUUAGGGCGCAUCAUCGACCGAUCCAGAUGUCUUCGGAUGGAUUUGAGUAUGAGCAUAGCUGUUGGGACCCGAAAGAUGGUGAACUAUGCCUGAAUAGGGUGAAGCCAGAGGAAACUCUGGUGGAGGCUCGCAGCGGUUCUGACGUGCAAAUCGAUCGUCAAAUUUGGGUAUAG
rnacentral:rRNA from 1 species